rnacentral:lncRNA from 1 species
CAAAUGCUGGGAAUGGGGAUGGAGCAGAGGAUGGAGGGAGAUGCGGAGAAACUUCAGCGCGGCAAGUGCCUUUGUUUCCCGUUACCUGCUGAGUCUAGUCCCGUCCAGGGCACACAGUGGGCGCUUAGUAACUGUAGAAAGAAAUCGAACAAAAUCGGAAGGGGGAGAGGCAGAGGCCACAAUCAAGACACGGAAGAGACAGUCAGUCGAGGCAGCAGAGAGGGUGCCACGCGGCCAGCGGAGACGCAGGGCAGCUGCGGAGGGACCUUGCUACGGGGCGGAGAGGCCGCGCUCCCCACCAGCGCGGCGUGAGGGCGCCAGGCCAGUCAUUCAGGCCACCCUGGGUUCUACCCCCCUGGAAAGACUUCCUUUGGCCAGUGUCAAUCAGUGCCAAAAUCAAGAGGAAAACUGAGGAGGAUUUCAUUAUAGAAGACUAUACCACCUGGGUAAUUCAUUUCUGUUUGGAUCAUGAAUGUGGACUAAGGGCUGCUUUAAUAUUUGAACAAACAACCACAGGUUUCUGUUUACCAAGCUUGAACAUUUCUUGCAGUACAACUCUUUUAAGUCCUUUGUCAUCCAGGACUAUUGAUUGCAUGGGGAGGGC